GAUGAAGAACGUAGCGAAAUGCGAUAACUAAUGUGAAUUGCAGAAUUCCGUGAAUCCUCGAGUCUUUGAACGCACAUUGCGCCCCCUGGUAUUCCGGGGGGCAUGCCUGUCCGAGCGUCAUUGCUGCCCAUCAAGCACGGCUUGUGUGUUGGGUCCUCGUCCCCCCCGGGGGACGUGCCCGAAAGGCAGCGGCGGCACCGCGUCCGGUCCUCGAGCGUAUGGGGCUUUGUCACCCGCUCUGCAGGCCCGGCCGGCGCUGGCCGACGCGAAAGCAACCAUUUUUUCUCCAGGUUGACCUCGGAUCAGGUAGGGAUACCCGCUGAACUUAAGCAUAUCAAUAAGCGGAGGA
rnacentral:misc_RNA from 1 species